rnacentral:rRNA from 1 species
UACGUAGGGUGCAAGCGUUAAUCGGAAUUACUGGGCGUAAAGCGUGCGCAGGCGGUUCGCUAAGACAGAUGUGAAAUCCCCGGGCUUAACCUGGGAACUGCAUUUGUGACUGGCGGGCUAGAGUAUGGCAGAGGGGGGUAGAAUUCCACGUGUAGCAGUGAAAUGCGUAGAGAUGUGGAGGAAUACCGAUGGCGAAGGCAGCCCCCUGGGCCAAUACUGACGCUCAUGCACGAAAGCGUGGAGAGCAAACAGG